rnacentral:rRNA from 1 species
CGGCGGACGGGUGAGUAAUGCCUAGGAAUCUGCCUGGUAGUGGGGGACAACGUUUCGAAAGGAACGCUAAUACCGCAUACGUCCUACGGGAGAAAGCAGGGGACCUUCGGGCCUUGCGCUAUCAGAUGAGCCUAGGUCGGAUUAGCUAGUUGGUGAGGUAAUGGCUCACCAAGGCGACGAUCCGUAACUGGUCUGAGAGGAUGAUCAGUCACACUGGAACUGAGUACUACGGUUCCAGACUCCUACGGGAGGCAGCAGUA